UGAAAAUAAAAGUUCUACCAAAUUUUAUUGUUUUCUUAAUUUUACUAACGACUACACAAGGGGUUCGCCAAUUUUUUGGGAUUUUACAAGGGGUUCGCAAGGAGAAAAAGGUUGGGAACCACUGCUGUAAACGAUGUUAUUGUGGUUACGAAUAAUGUGUAAUGCUACCAUAUUUAAGAAGUCAUUACCUACACUAGAUAUAGAAAAAAACGGCGCCUGUUGCAAUCAAUAUUUCUCUCAUUGUUAUCAAUUUUUUUUAUCAUCUCGUGACCUUGAUGUAUUGUACAGAAAUGGUUACAUAAUUUCCAGGUUUGUUCUUGAGCUCAUAAAGUUUUUUCUUAAAACAAUUCUCUC
rnacentral:lncRNA from 1 species